CAGGAUGUAUCUGAAGACUUUCUGACCAAGGUGCUUGAUCUAACCCUCGCCAGAUCAGGAUUGACUCCAGAUCCUCUCCGAUACCAGAUCCUGAUAAAUAAACGUCAUUCCGUCUCUUUGGGAGACAUUUGAAGAUGCUACAAGAAGCAGCCAUGGAUUCUCAAAUUUUCCUUUGGUUUUUUGCUUGUUGGGUUUCUGUGAAUUUUGUAUCAGCAUCAAAAAUUCAAGCCCAUCUGGAUGAAGCUAUGGAGUACUACGAAGGGCACAUAAACUCAGGAUGCACUUCCAACGGGACAAGGACAAUUCUUGGGAAAUUGGAGGAGAUUAUGAUGGAAGUCCAUUUCGA